UGCAGCCCUCUCUCCCUCCACUGCUUCGUGACACCCCAUAGCUAGUUCGGUAUGGCACAGGGAAGUCCUACCAGAGUAGCUCCACCAUCGUCACUGCCACGCUGUCGUGUUACCGAAGAAUUCAGCUACCUCUUCAUCUCUCUUGCUAGAUCAAGAAGGCGGGGAUCGUCAUCAAGAUGUACGUGUGCAGAACGUGGAGGUG
rnacentral:lncRNA from 1 species